AAUGGAUAGUUUCCAUGUAUAGAUAGGAUUCUGAAGGGCUCUGGUGGAGAUUCCAAGUGUACUACAUCGGCCAAGGGCGAGGAGGAGACAGUACCCCGGCUCUUGGUGAGCUGAUGAGCACUCCGAUGGUGGCUCUGGCGAACUUAGUGAAGAUGACUUGGCGAGGUCUCAUGCCGAAUGUUGGACUUGUUUUACCUCGGUCAAGAGGGUUCGGAGAUAUAGCAUUGUUUGGGGAGAUCAUGGGCGACCAGUUCUGAGAUGGCGACGUAUAUGCCUUGGUCGGUAGGGAUUUUAUCCCACAUCAGUAGCCCCCCUACUCGAAGUGUCGAGAUGGAACAACUGGGACUUUGAGUAACAUAAUUUCUUAUGCUAACGUGCCUUAAUGAUGGUGGCAACCCCUCGAUGGAGCCCACGUGGCAAGGAGGUCUUAAAUGCGGAACUCCGUUCGAAGCGUCCCCACAUCUCAGCCGUUAUUCUGGGUAGAUCUGAACCGUUGAUUACUUCUAUAUAUAGGGGGCUGCCUUGUCUUUUGGCACUUUUUGACCUCAUUAUUGUAAUACUGAAACUGCUCCGACGUUCCAUCCUCCAAGACGCUUUGUAAGUCAAUGGUCAGCUAUGUCUAAGAGACUCAAGCUCAGUGAUCUCGCCAAGGUCGUGGCUCAAAAAGCCGCCACCUCUGCUUCAAAGGGUGUGGUUAUCUCGGAAGGGUCUGAGACCACAUCCGAUAAAAGGGCAUUGGAUGAUGGAUCCAAGGGGAAACAGGUCGCCCAACCGCCUGAGCCGAAGAAGGCGAAGAUCGAUACUGGAGCGUCUGGAGCUUUCGCGAGGCCGCCCGUUGCUUCAGGAGCGGGUAGUUCGGUCCAACGAACUCUUGACGAAGCCUUGGGCCCGCAGGCUUCAGUGAUGGCCAGCGCGGCCAUAGUAGAAAAAAUUCUUGCCGGGGUGAUACUCCCAGCGGACAAGGAGAAGGUGGAUAGGCUCACCUUCGAUCAGGUGGUGACCAAGUUUUUCCAUGUGCUCGGCCAGGUAUUUGUCUUUCCCUAAAGGUGGUGUCAAUUCAUAUUCAGCGCGGUAAUCUUGAUUCUGUUUGUAGCAGGGGGUUAUCUUAGGGUCUUCUCUCGCGGUACGCAGCAGGGAUUUCGCCGAGUGCACCCUCAAUCAAAAGGUUGUCGCCGAAUCUGCCGAGAUGGAAAUGGUUCGAGGGCAAAAUUGGGCCAUUGAAUUAGAGGGCACCCUCGCCGAGGAGAAGGCGAAGGGGAAGAAGCUCACCGAGGAUGCUGAUGCUAGAGACAAGGUCAUUGCGAAGUUAGAGACAAGGAUCUCCGAGCUGGAAAAGAGCCAAUCUGUCUCGCAAGGCAGAGUCAUCGCCGCGUUCAAAGAGUCGGACGAAUUUUUAGAAGCUGUGAGGGGAUCGGCAUCCUUUUAUUUUGGCGAUGGCUUCGACUUCUGUAAGAGGCAGCUCGCGCACCAAUAUUCUGACCUCGGCGUCGACUUGGAGGACGUCGAGAUGGACCACGAACUCCUCUCCAAAGAGGAGGCCGAAGCCGAGAAGAGAGCGGCCGAAGAAGGGGCAGCCGGGGUAGAGGGGGUUGGCGAGGUUGUUUAAGGAUUCCCCCUUUUGUACUUUUAUAAUUUUUUUUAUUGUAUCCGUGAUCUUCAGUGGAUAAAUAAAAGUUGAUUCGUUUUCCAACUCUUGUCGUUUUUCCUUUCUUAAUUACCUCGGCAUGCAUGCAUUCAUCUUACUUGCAAUAUUCAUGGUGGAAAGUGGCGGUCAAAACUUUCUGCGCCCUAACCGAUAUAAGCUCCUGGGCGACGAGGUAUAUACGGCGAGACCGUCGACUGGCUAUGAAGAUUCUUUGUAAUGAAUGGACGCUCUCAUUAAUGACGACGUCGGUAGUGGUGAUCAAGAUUCUUCGAGUCGCUCUGUAAGGAGCUGGCGAUCUAGGCCCCUUAGGCGGUCAAGGUUUUGGCAACAUGUUUUGAUUUGCUUGUAAUAGGCAAAACUCUUGAGCGAGCAAGUAGCUUUAGCGCAUUAAGGCGACGUGAGACUUGUACGGUUUAAUACGCGAUAGGCGACGUGGGCAUCUAAUCAUAGACGAUUCCUAAUCACAAAGAAUCACAGCUUGUUCGCAUGACCAAUGCUGACGUGUUUGUGCAAUGAUGGUCUGGCCAAAUGGAGCGUCAACCACAACGGACUUGCUCCAGGAGCCACGUGGAGGGGAAAUUAAAUGCAGAAUAGGUUGAGUCGGCGGGAAAAUGGUUUAAUGGCGGGAACGGCGGUUUUUACUUCUCGAAAAUCGGAACGUCGCGUGAUCUGGGCCGUUGGGCCCGAUCGAUCACAGCCCUCCCAUGUAUGUAUAUAAAUGGGGUUUAACCUAUUCAUUCGCACAUUUCCAUUGUUGUCGAAAUUCUGCUCCGUGUUCGAACUGCACCUCGCCGUAACCAGGUCGACUGUCCCGUUUAUGUUCUCCAAGACCAACCUCAGAGGCGAAGAAUCUGAGCAAUCCCUGCCUUCUUGGAUAUCCGAUCAUCUUGGGGCGAAGUCCUAUAUCGACGAAAUGAGCCAGUCUCCAUUUCCACCAAAUUCCCCAAAGAUGGAUACCUCGAGUCUUACUAAGGAGGGUAACGUCAUGUCCCAGGCUGAACUGGACAAGCUCGGAUCUACCUAUUCAUUUCCCUCAGGGGUACGACUUUGGAUUCCUAGGGAUGGCGAGACAAUUUUAUCCUCCCGCCAAGGUGAGGUGGCGUUUUACGAAGCCGCUUUUUUGGCCGGCUUAAGGUUUCCUAUUCACCCGACCAUCAGGAAAAUUUUGAUUCAUUACAAGAUUUGCCCUGCUCAGUUAUCCCCCAACGCAUGGCGAUCAGUCAUCUGUUCGCUGGUGAUCUGGCGCCACUUCAAACGUCACAUGUCUUGUGACGAAUUCAGGUGCUUGUACUCCCUCAGCCCCCUGCCCGAUUCGGGGUGGUACUACUUCAAGGCAAGGCCUGAGAAGAACUUGCUCCGAGGAUCCCCGAGCAACGUGAAGGAGUGGAAGACGAGGUUCUUUUUUGCCUCGGGGGACGAGUGGGAGUUCCCUUCGGGCACGGCUGCCAGCGAUACUACUCUACGAGUUCCUAGGUCUUGGGGAACGCCAGGUUAGUUCCUAUUUAUUUAUUUAUUUAUUUAUUUUUUACAAAUCAUUAUGGUCGCCUGACAUGCUAUUUUCAGGGAAGAGCUGCAACAAGCUGCCGACUCUGUCCGAGGUUGAUGCCAAGAGGAUGGAGGCAAUCUUCGGGAAGAUAGAGCCCGGAGGCUACUUCGAGGUUUCGAAGGUCCUGGGUUCGCGGGCAUUCAAGUAACAUUUUGCGGUUGGUUGCGCGGCGCUUUCUACCAGCGGCGGAGACAACACGACCUCGAGCGAUGAGGGUGAGUUUACUGCUCGCGAAGAUUUGGUUGAAUACCUAGGAGUCAUUCGAUGGGAUAUCGGAGGGGUGAUUAGGAGAGCCCAUCCUGGUAUCCCCGAUGAGACCCUCCUAAGGUGGCUCAGGGGGAAGGUAAAGGGCCCGUUUACGAGUCUUCUAUCUGGGACGUCCGGCUCCCGUUCGGAUUCAGGGUCGGUUUCCACUUCGGAUUCCGGACUGCCCCCCGAGCUCAGAUCUGAUGGUAUAUUCUAGAAACCAUCUGUUUACUGUUUUCUUCCUUAUCUGACAUAUCCCAUGUGCAGCUAUGUCGGCUCGAGCUGGUGCCCCCGCUUUGGGUGAAAAAACCGGGGAUAAGGCCAAGGCCGAGAAGGCUACGAAGGCGACGACAGCCAAGCCUCUCACCAAAGGAGUCGUCAUUCAGGAGAAACGCACGCGGGAAGGCAUCCCCAUAAUCGAGAUAGGCGAGCCGAUCUCUUCGAAGGGAAAGGAAGCUGUGCCGCCCCCGCCGCCUAAAAGAUUCAAGUCCAACCGAGGGGCGAUCAAUGCUAGAGGGCGUGUUGCUGAGGCGGGGACCUCUUCCCCUGGUGGCGACAUAGGACCCGAAUCUCUGUCGGAUGCUUCAGUGGCUCUGAGGUUGCUCACAGGGGUGAUUCCGGCUUCCGACAAGAAAGAGGUCGCCAAAUCUUUCCAUGCCUUGGGCUAGGUAAUUUGUGAAAAUCUUGGCGUUGUUUCUUUUGAUAAAUACUGAGAUGUUAUUUUGGCAGGUGGUCGUGUUGGCCUCUUCUCUCGCCCUCCGCAGCUAGGAGCAUCUUCACGAUAUAGACUUCCAUAUGGCUCGCGCAGAUUUCGCCGAGCUGGAAUUGGUAAAAACUCAAAAGCGAGCCCUUAAGGCAGAGAAUAAGCUGGCCGAGCUUAGCGAGGAAGGAUCAAAGCCCGGCAACGAGGUGGACGUUCUGAAGGCCACUGUGGCAGAACUGACAAAUAAACUGGCGAAGGCCAAGGAGCUAGCCAUUGAGGACUUCAAAGCCUCGGGAGAAUUCAAGGCAGCGGUUACAGAUUCUACUGCGACGUACUUCAGCGAGGGCUUUGAGUUUUGCAAGAGGCAGCUCAUCCAUCAAUUCCCCAACCUCGGUGUUGACGUGGCGAAUAUGGCGAUGGACCCAAGUUUCGCCGAGGAAGAGGAGGUGAUGAAAGAAGGAGAAGAUCCUGUUGCAGGAGUUGCUCCCAAUGUAUAAAAUUUUUUUUAUUUAUUUUUUUUUAAAAUGUAAUAUUUGUCCAUAUGAAUGAAAAAUAUAUCCAUUUGAAAAAUCUUUGUUCUCCGUCUUUUGUUUGUGUUAAUGGCGACCACAAGUAAUGGCGAAAUCUCAAUAACUGAAAUAAUAUUGGCGAUUUCGAUAGCGGGCGAUCUUAUUUUGUUUUGGAUUGGCGAUAUCAUUUUUCUUUAACUGGCGACCUCAAUAUUGGCGAUCAUCGAUAUAGGCGAUCAUAAUGAUGGCGACAUAGAGACGGGCGAUCAUAAUACAGGCGACAUAAACAAUGGCGAUAGCAAUCUUUCGUAUAAACGAUGAUCUAACAUAGGCGAAUCGUAACAAAUUCCGAAUAAUAAAUUUAUUUAGGGCGCGAAUGGGUUCUCAUGACCUUCACUGAUAGUACUUUUUCAAAUGCUCGGCAUUCCAGGGAUGUGAAAGUGCUUUUCCGUCCGGGUCUUCUAACCAAUAAGUCCCCAAUCGGGAGAGACUUUGAUAACCUUGUAAGGACCUUCCCACGUUGGGCCGAGCUUCUCUGUAUUUGGUUCUUUAGUUGACAGGGUUACUUUCCGCAGAACCAGGUCGCCCGGAAGGAAUGAACGGUGUCUAACUCUUUGAUUGUAGUACUUGGCGACUUGGCAUUUAUAGGCCAUUUAACGUAGCUCGGCGCUCUCUCUUUUCUCUUCAAGGAGGUCUAGGUUAACUCUGAGCUCGGCCUCAUUAAUUUCCUUGUCGAAAUUCGAAACCCUGAAGCUCGGCAUACCUAUUUCCACCGGUAUGACUGAUUCGGUUCCGAAGACCAUGGAAUACGGAGUUUCACCCGUAGGAAUCCGACUAGUAGUAUGAUAAGCCCAAAGUAUGCUUGGCAAGUUUUCUGCCCACUCGUUUUUCGAUCGUUCUAACCUCGCCUUCAAAUUUCUGAGGAUGGUACGGUUGGUUACUUCAACUUGUCCAUUAGCUUGAGGAUGACCGGGCGAGGAGAAAUGAUGGGAGAUGGCGAGAUCCGAGCAGAAUAAUCUGAACCUGUCAUUGUCGAACUGCCUUGCGUUGUCCGAGAUGAUAACCUUUGGGACUCCGAAUCUGCAAACAAGGUGCUUCCAUACGAAGUUCCGGGUAUUUUUCUCAGUAAUCUUGGCGAGAGGCUGAGCUUCUAUCUAUUUAGUAAAAUAAUCUAUGGCGACGAUUAGAAACUUUCUUUGCAAAGGAGCUUGCGGUAGGGGACCCAGAAUGUCUAUCCCCCACUGGGCGAAUGGCCAAGGGCUGGACAUUGGUACCAUCUCGGUAUGAGGGAGACGGCUAACGGGGGCAAACCUCUGGCAUUUGUCGCAUUUCUUUAUAUAUGCUGCCGCAUCUCGUUCUAUGGUCGGCCAAAAAUAUCCUUGGCGAAUAGUUUUCUUCGCCAAAGAUCUUGCUCCGGUGUGAUUUCCGCAUAUGCCUUCGUAUAUUUCUCGUAGAAUAUAUUCUGCCUCUUCUGGUCGGAGACAUCUCAAAAGUGGUCCUGAAAAGGACCUCUUGUAUAGCCUGCCCUUAAAAAUGCAAAAUCUUGCGGAUCUGUAUUGGAGGCGGCGAGCUUGGAGUUUAUCCCUUGGCAAGAUUCCUUUCUGGAGAUAGGCAAUAAUUUCGUCUAGCCACGUCGGAUUUUCUUCUGUUUGGAGGAUUUGGUUGGCGAUUCCAAUGCUUGGGCUGGUUAAAAAUUCCAGAGGUAUGCACCUGUCAGAAAUAAACUCAAAAGUGGACGCCAGAUUAGCCAAGACAUCUGCCUUCUUGUUAUCUUCUCGGGGAAUCUGGUGAAUCUUAAACUCCUUGAUCUUUGCGGACACAGCCUUCACCUCGCCCAAAUAAGCUAUCAUUCUUGCGUCCUUGGCGAGGUAAUCUCCUUGGACUUGGUUUACCACCAGUUGUGAGUCACUGAAGACUUCCAAAGAUUGUGCUCCCAACUCUGUUGCUACUCUUAGGCCGGCGAGGAGGGCUUCGUAUUCGGCCUCAUUGUUGGUGGCUUUGAACCCCAUUCUUAUGGCGUAUUCCAUUUGUUCGCCUGAUGGAGCUCGUAUGACGAGUCCCGCACCGCAGCCGUGCUGGUUAGAAGAGCCAUCAACGUACAAUAUCCAGUGGGCGAGGUCUUCUUUUGAGGGUUCUUUAGGAAUUCCCGCUUCAAGAGGAGUCGACUCUGGUUGUGGAGUGUCUUCAUGGGUGGAUUCGACAAUAAAAUCAGCCUGGGCCUGGGCUUUUAUUGCUGUCCUUGGCUUGUACUCAAUGUGGAACUCACUAAGUUCGAUGGACCAUUUCAGGAGUCUGCCCGACGUGUCUGGUCGUUGCAGAAUCUGCUUUAGUGGUUGAUCUGUCAACACUAUGAUGGAAUGGGCCUGGAAGUAAUGACGAAGUUUUCUGGCGGCGAUCAUUAGAGCAUAGGCGAUCUUUUCAACCCUUAGAUAUCUGGCCUCGGCACCAAUCAAAGUUUUGCUAACGUAGUAUAUCGAUUUUUGGAUUUUAUCUUCUUCUCGGACUAGUACUGUGCUUAUUGCAAUGGGCGAGGCAGAUAAAUACACGUAGAGAUCUUCGUCGGCGGUGGGGACCGAGAGUAAAGGCGGGGAUCCGAGAUACUCUUUCAGCUGUUGGAACGCAUUUUCAGAUUCCUCACUCCAUUGAAAGGUCUGGCUCUUUCUCAGGAUUUUGAAGAACGGGAGGCACUUGUCCGCAGAUUUGGAAACGAAUCUGUUCAGGGCGGCUACUCGCCCAGUCAGUUGCUGCACUUCUCAGAUAUUCCUUGGCGAUCUCAUUGCGAUAAGGGCUUGUAUUUGAUCCGGGUUCACCUCAAUUCCUCGCUUGGUGACCAGGAAUCCCAGAAACUUUC
rnacentral:lncRNA from 1 species